CGCAUUUCUAUAUUUGCUCACACAUAGUUCAUACACUGUGCUUUCUGUUUUGCACUUUCUUCAUCUGCAUGAUAUUGUUCAUACACUGAUCACAUACCGUUGCAUUUUCCCUGUAGCUAUGGGUAUACACAUACUUUCUGACUCUCGCCUUGGAGCCUGUAGAGGAGCUUCCAUUGACAAUACCCUAUUUGUGAGUAUAUGACAGUCAGCUUCACCGUAGGACCCGUGAGCCUUUCACUUUCUUCUGCUAAUACUUCAACACGGUAGCAGCCUAUGAGAUCACGUGGCAGCCGUGGGCCACGAUGCCCGCGGGGAUUCAAGGCUAGUAUACCAGGGCCUGGGUCAUUUCUUGCUACCACAUUCUACUCGAGGGCGCAGUCUGCUAGGCUUGGUUCUUGGGUGAGCGCUUCGUGCGCCAGAUUAUGGUCCUACUCGACCCGAUCGUCCCGAUGGCUCCACCAGAGUCCAUGUGGUCCACAGAGAGCCUAUUUGUUGAGGAGGUCAUCCAGUUCAUGGUGGGCCUCAACGUCAACUUCUGCUGAGUGGAGGGCGACUAUGCAGCUUUCAUCCUGACACAUCUGAUGCCGCCCCUGACCGGUGUUUGUAGAGCUAAGGAGGUGAGAGCUCCUGCCGCGAGAGAGGGGCCUAGAGCGACUUGAGCGAGCAGGGCUCGUGGUAGAGGGGUUACCCGGGUGGGGUAGAGUACCGGUUGGCCGAAGUUGCCUACUGCACUCAUAUGUUGGCAGUAUACUAGGAAGGCAUACCAGAUCCUUAUUGAGCCUGCAGCAGCUGGGCAUAGAUACUUCAGAACUCACAACGCACCUCCGGCACCCCCAUGGUACACUGAAGGCCUGCUCGAGCUACUGGAUUCGUUCGAGGGCAUGAUAUUGAGGAGGGAGGCACUGCCCAGUUUCCAUGGCAUUCAGGUCCCACCGAUACCGAUGGCACCAGCGGCAGCUGCAGUACCUGCACCACCAGUUCCUCCUCCAUCAGCAAGGAGAGGGAGACAAAUUUCAACAUGCGGCUGAGGCAGAGAUAGGGGCACCCGAGCCGAGAGAGGCCCUUCAAAGCCCAUUCUGAAUGAUUAUGAUGUUGAGACGAGCGACUCUGAGGAGGUAGCGAGUCAGCAUUCAGAUUCAUUUGAGAGUGAAGGUGAUGAUGCUAGUUCAGGUUCCGGGAGUGGAGACGAUGCCGAGGCGAGCUCCGAGGUGAAGAGCGGAGAUGGCUCCAAUUCAGACUCUGGUUCUGAUUCAGAUAGCGGUGCCAAUGGAGACAGUGCCACAGAGUCCUCUCCUCCGAGGAAGAGGACGAAGAGGGCUUCUCAAGCCUGAGGUGACCAGUGCUAUUUUUUUUUGUAGUU